GCUUACGGCCACACCACCCUGCGCGCCCGAUCUCGUCUGAUCUCGGAAGCUAAGCAGGGUCGGGCCUGGUUAGUACUUGGAUGGGAGACCGCCUGGGAAUACCAGGUGCCGUAAGCU
rnacentral:rRNA from 1 species